rnacentral:rRNA from 1 species
GACAGUUCGGUCCCUAUCUGCCGUGGGCGUUGGAUGAUUGAAGGGAGUUGCUCCUAGUACGAGAGGACCGGAGUGAACGAACCUCUGGUGUUCGGGUUGUCACGCCAGUGGCACUGCCCGGUAGCUAAGUUCGGAAUCGAUAACCGCUGAAAGCAUCUAAGCGGGAAGCGAGCCCUGAGAUGAGUCAUCCCUGACCCCUUGAGGGUCCUAAAGGGCCGUUGGAGACCACAACGUUGAUAGGUGGGGUGUGUAAGYGCAGUGAUGUGUUGAGCUAACCCAUACUAAUUACCCGUGAGGCUUAACCAUACAACACCCAAGAAGUGUUCUG